GAGUUUGAUCAUGGCUCAGGACGAACGCUGGCGGCGUGGAUUAGGCAUGCAAGUCGAACGGUAUCGGUUCCUUCGGGGAUCGAGAGAGUGGCGAACGGGUGAGUAACACGUAGGUUAUCUGCCCUCGAGAUCGGGACAACCCAGGGAAACUUGGGCUAAUACCGGAUGCGUGCUACUGUAGUGGUAGCAUAAAAGGUGGCAUUUGCUGCCGCUUGAGGAUGAGCCUGCGUCCUAUUAGUUAGUUGGUGAGGUAAUGGCUUACCAAGGCGAUGAUAGGUAGGCGGCCUUAACGGGUGGUCGCCCACACUGGGAUUGAGAUACGGCCCAGACUCCUACGGGAGGCAGCAGUCGAGAAUAGUCUACAAUGGUCGAAAGACUGAUAGUGCGACGCCGCGUGAACGAAGACUCCUUUCGGGGUGUAAAGUUCUUUUAUAUGUGAGCAGUGGAUGUUACAUUAAUAGUGUGAUAUCAGGGAUAUUAGCAUAUGAAUAAGCAACGGCUAACUCCGUGCCAGCAGCCGCGGUAACACGGGGGUUGCGAGCGUUGUCCGGAAUUACUAGGCGUAAAGGGCAGGUAGGCGGAGAUGUAAGUUUGAUGUUAAAGGUACUGGCUCACCCAGUGUACGGCAUCAGAUACUGCAUUUCUUGAAUACGGUUGGGGAAGACAGAAUUCCUGGUGUAGCGGUGGAAUGCGCAGAGAUCAGAAGAAUACCGAAGCGAAGGCAGUCUUCUAGCCGGUUAUUGACGCUAAACUGCGAAGGUGUGGGUAUCAAACAGGAUUAGAUACCCUGGUAGUCCACA
rnacentral:rRNA from 1 species